rnacentral:rRNA from 1 species
AGAGUGAACGCUGGCGGCAGGCCUAACACAUGCAAGUCGAACGGCAGCACAGGGGAGCUUGCUCCCUGGGUGGCGAGUGGCGGACGGGUGAGGAAUACAUCGGAAUCUACCCAGUCGUGGGGGAUAACCUCGGGAAACCGGGACUAAUACCGCAUACGACCCACGGGUGAAAGCGGAGGACCGCAAGGCUUCGCGCGAUUGGAUGAGCCGAUGUCGGAUUAGCUUGUUGGCGGGGUAAUGGCCCACCAAGGCGACGAUCCGUAGCUGGUCUGAGAGGAUGAUCAGCCACACUGGAACUGAGACACGGUCCAGACUCCUACGGGAGGCAGCAGUGGGGAAUAUUGGACAAUGGGCGCAAGCCUGAUCCAGCCAUGCCGCGUGAGUGAAGAAGGCCCUCGGGUUGUAAAGCUCUUUUGUUGGGAAGAAAAGCAAUCGGUUAAUACCCGGUUGUACUGACGGUACCCAAAGAAUAAGCACCGGCUAACUUCGUGCCAGCAGCCG